rnacentral:lncRNA from 1 species
GAGAGAGAGUCCUUUGACGGACCGACAGGGAAAGUGUUUUGGGCCUCUGCGGUAUGCUGUCCUCAUGAGAAAUGACGAAGGAAGAUUUUAAAGAGUCAUUUUGAAUUAUGUGAAAUGUUUGGCCUUUACAUGUCAGCAGCUUCCUGCUUUAGGGGGCUUUGUGUUGGAGAGUACUGAAGGUGGACCAUUGUGAUCUGUCUAAAUAUUACCUCUUCUGCGUCCCCUGCGCUCCACGGCCCCCGGCACUCCCAUCCGUCAGGAGGCAGGAAUGGUUCUCCCAUGCAGAAGGACUCGUCUGCGGCUGAAAUAUUGAUCACAGCGGCUCAUGGAAGAGCUGCCACCCAAAGCCCGUGACAGCACUCGGGUCACUGUGACAAAGACAGAGGUGAGCGAUUUUCUGUGAUUAGGAAUAGCCAGAGGCACUCGUGGCAUUUUCAGUCUCAAGUACGCUGAGAGGGAUGGAAACAAAGCACACCGGGGGAUAAGAAAGAGAGACUGAGAGACAGAGGAAGGGAAGCUACUUCUAGAUCCUUUCAGCCGAAGUGUCAUUAUUCAGGGAAGCUGAUUCAGGAAUUCAAUAAUGGAUGGAGUGAGCUGAGGAAGAGUAAAAGCUGUCGCUGAAAGGUCAUUGAUGCUUAUUUCUCUCACUGUCUGUCUCUCUCUCUCCUUAUUUCCUCCCGGUUCCCAUCCAGCAGCUAAUCAGUGACUGACAGCUCAACCCACGUUCUCUCUCACUCUCCACCUGUGUGUCUCACUCUGUUUGUCUCUUAUCUGCAGAUGGAAGGAUAAUGGUUUGAUUGUUGCCUUUGAGUAGUCACUGAACAUGUCUGAGGGAAUAGAACAUUAAGACGCUGUGCCAUUAACAGAACAACGUCCUCUGUUCUUACACAGCCUGAACAGAAGUCAAGAGUCAGAGUCGUCGGGUCCAUGUGACCGUGUUACUCACUUGCGUCUUGUAGAAAGUCUCUUAUCUGCAGAUGGAGGGAUAAUGGUUUGAUUGUUAGCCUUUGAGUAGUCACUGAACAUGUA